AUUGAACGCUGGCGGCAGGCCUAACACAUGCAAGUCGAGCGGCAGCACGGGAGCUUGCUCCUGGUGGCGAGCGGCGGACGGGUGAGUAAUGCCUAGGAAUCUGCCUGAUAGUGGGGGAUAACAACCGGAAACGGUUGCUAAUACCGCAUACGUCCUACGGGAGAAAGUGGGGGACCUUCGGGCCUCACGCUAUCAGAUGAGCCUAGGUCGGAUUAGCUAGUUGGUAGGGUAAAGGCCUACCAAGGCGACGAUCCGUAACUGGUCUGAGAGGAUGAUCAGUCACACUGGAACUGAGACACGGUCCAGACUCCUACGGGAGGCAGCAGUGGGGAAUAUUGGACAAUGGGCGAAAGCCUGAUCCAGCCAUGCCGCGUGUGUGAAGAAGGUCUUCGGAUUGUAAAGCACUUUAAGUUGGGAGGAAGGGCAGCUAGCGAAUACCUGGUUGUCUUGACGUUACCGACAGAAUAAGCACCGGCUAACUCUGUGCCAGCCGCCGCAGUAAAAC
rnacentral:rRNA from 1 species